CCCGUAAUGGCGUUGCUUCUCGAUGUAGCGGUUAAUUUUAGCCUUGAUUUCUGCUAGGCCUCGCACGCCUUCCUCGCGUGGGAUGGUGCUUAAUUUGCGCGAGUACGUCGCUGGCUUUCCUGUUUCCUUUGGCUGCACAAAUAUGGCAUGGUCGCGAGGUGUUCUGUAGCCGGAUUGUGUUCUCUGAUUGCGGAUGCAUGCACCUUUGUGUGUGCACGAGAUCGAGCGACUUCUAAUCUGUAGUUGGUGGAAUCUGAUUCAUGGCAAUGUUGCGUCGAGUUUCGGUCGGAAAUCGCAUUUCACCUUAAGUGUAUUGAGUAUUUCGAUCUUGUUUUAUGCACCAACCUUGGUGGAUACGGGAUACUAUACUGCAAGUUUUGUGUCUUAACGACUAACGUGCUUCCUGUGAAUAUUGGGCCUUGAAGCCGUGGUAGAUGCCAUGGAUGUGGCUGAGAGGGAGUCGCUUGCCUCUCGGGACUGGUCCUCCUCCUCCUCCUUUCACCUUCCCUUGGUCAUAGAGUUCGGUUGGCAGCUCUAACCAUGCGGCCCAAGGUGAAUUAGAAAUCACACCGACCUCUCGUAUGUCAGCUCAGCAAAGCACGAACAUUGGGAACCAACGCACGUUGUUGCAGGAUGUGCAACAUGAUGCCCCUUGAUCAUCACCGGCGUGGCCAACAUGUAGAGCCCUUGAUCAUCAUGGUUUUCAUGUGUUUGCGGAGGACAUGUGGCUAGCUUUGCCUUAUCUAUAUGGUGUUUAUGUACUUUGCACUAUGGAUAUGUAACCACUAUGGACUAUAUGACUUCUUUGAACAUUUGAUUCAUUUGAUGGACUAUGCGACUUGUAUGGAUAUUUGAUGAACUAUGUGACUUCUAUGGACCUUUGAUGAUCUA